AGAGAGAGAGAGAUUGUAGUUAUUAACAUAUGAUCAAAAAGACCAUUGGAAUUUUGAGUGCAGCUAGCAGAUAACUCUCUCAUACAUACUUCAACUGAUAAGAGUUCCAUAAGCCACUUGCAUUGUGGGGACCAUGUUAAAUCGUUUAAAAUUAGUAGCAAUAACAAACUGAACACAAGCAAGCAGGGGCAGGCUCAACCUCCGCUCAAAAUUUAAUGCAACAGUUCCAGCUCAGACUGAACUGGGACUACCCAACUCCAGAAUAAAUGUCAACUCAACUCAAGCUUGGAAUGAGAGUUGAGAGAACAGGAACAUUCAAGAUGGAAAAUGGAGAGAGAAGAACAAGGAUGAGGGUUGGGCACUAGGUCUAAAAAUGGAUCGGAUAUUAUCCAACUACAUCCAUUAUAUCUGGUUCAGAGAUGAUUGGGAUAGGAAUAUUUGAAUCAGAUCCGGAUUCGGAUACCCAUUCAUGAAUUUUGCUGAAUACAGAUCUGGAUCCAGAUUUUGAAUUUUUUCUGGAUUGGAUCUGGAUAUCAAGAAAAAGGAAUUACCUAAAAUACCGCUCUUAGUAAGAACCAAAGUUUUUUGAGUUAGCCGCCAACUACCCAAAACAAUAUUUGUUCUUUCUCUAUAUUGACUUUUCAUUUUACUACUUUAAAAAAUUGUUCACAUUAUAAAAAUAGCAUUUUUCAUAUUUAUUUAUUAUCAUUUUAAAAAAUCAAUCUUUCCCUAUAAUAAAAAAAUAUUUCAUUUUUUCCCUUAUGAUAUUUUGAAAAAUUUUAAAAUAUUUAAAAUUAUCAAUACAUAUAAUAUAUACUACAUCUAUACAUAAUCUUUUACAUGUUCUCUAUAAAAUAGAUAAUGCUUGAUUAUUUUUAUAUUGCAUAUAUUUUUUUCAAAAAUUAAUUUCUAAUAUAUUUUUAAUACAAAUCUAAUUGGAUCAAUAUUCCAGGCAGUCUCCGUGAAAAUUUAAUAACUAGAAUUUAGACUCUUAACCAAGAAAUACUGAACCGGCCCGUACCGGCCGGUUCAUCCCGUACCGGCCGGUUCAUCCCAUACCGAACCGAUUCGGUCUAUGACCGGUCUAGUUCGGCAUUAAAAAAGGUACCAGCUCGUACUGGGCCGAACCGUACUAGUUUGUACCAGUCUGAACUGGUACCAAACCG
rnacentral:lncRNA from 1 species